AACGAACGCUGGCGGCAGGCCUAACACAUGCAAGUCGAGCGCGCCCUUCGGGGUGAGCGGCGGACGGGUGAGUAACGCGUGGGAACGUGCCCUUUUCUACGGAAUAGCCUCGGGAAACUGAGAGUAAUACCGUAUACGCCCUUUGGGGGAAAGAUUUAUCGGAAAAGGAUCGGCCCGCGUUGGAUUAGGUAGUUGGUGGGGUAAUGGCCUACCAAGCCGACGAUCCAUAGCUGGUGUGAGAGGAUGAUCAGCCACACUGGGACUGAGACACGGCCCAGACUCCUACGGGAGGCAGCAGUGGGGAAUCUUAGAAAAUGGGGGCAACCCUGAUCGAGCCAUGCCGCGUGAGUGAUGAAGGCCUUAGGGUUGUAAAGCUCUUUCAGCUGGGAAGAUAAUGACGGUACCAGCAGAAGAAGCCCCGGCUAACUCCGUG
rnacentral:rRNA from 1 species